rnacentral:lncRNA from 1 species
UGUUUGUUUGUUCUUGGGCAUAUGUUCAUGGCGGAUGGCUGAGCCUGAUCGUCUUCACGACCAUCGCCAUCAUCUGCCUCUACACCGGGCUUCUAGAACCUUGUUGCUGCUUUGUUUGCUUCUUCACAUGAUGCAAUAUAUUUGUCCUGCUAGCCUUCCCACGGUGAGAACAAUCAAACUUGGCAGUUUUCAGCUUUCCAGUGACAUGAAUAGCAGCAGCGAUGCAUAGGACCUCUCCAGCCUGAAGAUUUUCACAGGAAAAUAAUUUGAUUAUGAACAGAUUAUAGAAGGCAAAAACUGGUCUAUUACAAAAGUAGAAAAUGUUAGCACAACACUGAAAUUUGAAAGUGCUUAACGUAAGUAAAAUUUUGUAACAUAACAUAGAAAUUUUCAAUCACUUAGUCUGUAGGUAAAAAAUUGUCCAGAUCAUAUAUAAUCAUAUAUGAAGUUACACAAUACCUUGUGACGACGCCUGAAUGUUAGUUGUGCAGUGCCAGCGGCCCUUCCAGCCCCCUUUUCUCAAAUUGCCGGCAAACAUGCACAUAUAAGUAAGAAAUUUGCAAUAGAACUUACAAUUGAUAAUUUAUAAAAAAAAACCUUUGAACAAACAACAAUAUUUUAGAAACCUUGAUCCCCUUGGGUGGUGGAUUAUUCCCAAAUUAAACACUAUAUCCUACGAAGAACAGCGGAAGACAUAGAAGCAAUUGUGCACUUUAGGGGCUAGCACUGGAAGUUUACGAUGACGGAGAUGUCAUCUUUGCUCGUCCUAUUCAUAGGCUGAAGCUCUGCUAGCAGCGGAUGUUUACGACGACGCAGGAUAUGCCGUCUUUGCUCCUCAUGUUCACCGGCUGAUCCGCCAGAUGCUUCACAACUGCCUGUGUGUCCCUGAUGUCAUUGCUCUAACUGUAAAGAUUGAUAGUCCACCUCUAGCAAGAUAUUUUCAGUCCUUUUCAAAGGAACCAAACCAAUUGCAGUUGAUUGUUUAUAUAAAUACAUACCCAUGAUUAUUAAGAUGACAUGUACACAGUAUUUUGUCUAUCCAACAAGCAAAUUUCCACGACAAGCAAGCAAGGCAAACACCAAAUAGUGCAUGAAUCAUAUCAGGAGAGGAGAGGGACCAAACAACAGUGUCACUUACCUUUUAUCUGCCGGUAACCAUAUCAGUCAUCAUUGUCACCUCCCGUUGACUCGCCCACCACAGUCGAUCAGUGUCGUCUUGCACUGCACUGUCAUAUUCAUGCCAGUAUACUCUAAUAAAGAGAAUUUUCAACAUGCAAGAAUGUGCUUCUGCAGCUAACAUGCAUGUACAGAAGGCCCUGUAUAGUAUAUGUGAUCACAUUUAUUCCUCUCUAAUGUUCAUAAUUGCCAUCUUCUCCUGAUGUUUUUAACACUCUUAGGUUCUGAUACGAACAUGCUACUAUACUUGUGUAAGUGGUACUGUAUUAGAAUGAUAAAAUAGACUGCUCUUGGUUGUUGUGUCACACACUGGAAUCGAUUACAAUAUAACCCACAUGUGCAGGCCAUCAUUCAUUUACUAAUUUUGUACUUAUGAUCCCCCAUGCUUUAAUAAACAUGUAAUUCUUCUUUCUUAUCUUGAUCCAGAUUAUUUCAUGAUGUCACUUAAUUCAUAGUACAGAUUUUCUCUUAACAUGGGAUAAGAAUAGAGACUAACCCUGAAACAAAUUGAUGCUUAACUUGACUGAUCCUAUUUUAUGAACCAAAAAAUCAAGUUAACAGUAGAAGUCACUCAUAGAUUAUUUGACUAAGAUCUAUUCAUGGUAUCCUCUAGUCCAAGAUUGUAGCUGAUGUUGAUGGCAUCGAAAAUAAUCAACACAUUAGUACCAUCCUAAACGACUUGAUUGUUGCAGCCGAACUCUAAAUACAAUUAGUGCCUGCAUCUAGCACCUCCGGUUCCCUUGCUCCCAUACAUGUCGUGGAUCCACCAAUUGGAUAACUCUCUAUUGUACUGUAUUGACACAAAAUAAUGAACAUUCGAUUAGCUUGAAUCAAAAUUCUGCAACCAUUUCUACUUACAAGAGUGUCAAAAGGGAUAUUCAUUGCACGAUAACAUAAGAGUCCAAUAAUUGUUUUCACCUAACAGAAGACACCAGGGCCAGAAUCUUGUGUCAUUAAUACAAUCCUGAUGGCGAGGGUGGCGAGGCGACGACAAGAU